rnacentral:rRNA from 1 species
GACGAACGCUGGCGGCGUGCUUAACACAUGCAAGUCGAACGGAAAGGCCCUGCUUUUGUGGGGUGCUCGAGUGGCGAACGGGGGAGUAACACGUGAGUAACCUGCCCUUGACUUUGGGAUAACUUCAGGAAACUGGGGCUAAUACCGGAUAGGAGCUCCUGCUGCAUGGUGGGGGUUGGAAAGUUUCGGCGGUUGGGGAUGGACUCGCGGCUUAUCAGCUUGUUGGUGGGGUAGUGGCUUACCAAGGCUUUGACGGGUAGCCGGCCUGAGAGGGUGACCGGCCACAUUGGGACUGAGAUACGGCCCAGACUCCUACGGGAGGCAGCAGUGGGGAAUAUUGCACAAUGGGCGGAAGCCUGAUGCAGCAACGCCGCGUGCGGGAUGACGGCCUUCGGGUUGUAAACCGCUUUCGCCUGUGACGAAGCGUGAGUGACGGUAAUGGGGAAAGAAGCACCGGCUAACUACGU